rnacentral:rRNA from 2 species
AUUCCAGCUCCAAUAGCGUAUAUUAAAGUUGUUGCAGUUAAAAAGCUCGUAGUUGGAUUUGUGGUGCUGCCUGCAGUCCAAUUAGUYUUGGUGCUAGCGGGUGGUGUCAUCUUUGGGUGGAACCUGUGGGGCAUUAGCUUGUUUUGCAGGGGAAAUUCAUCGUUUACUGUGAAAAAAUUAGAGUGUUCAAAGCAGGCUUACGCCAAUGAAUAUACUAGCAUGGAAUAAUGAAAUAGGACUUUGGUACUAUUUUGUUGGUUUGCGCGCCAAAGUAAUGAUUAAUAGGGACAGUUGGGGGUAUUCGUAUUCCAUAGUCAGAGGUGAAAUUCUUGGAUUUUUGGAAGACGAACUACUGCGAAAGCAUUUACCAAGGAUGUU